UUCUGAGCCUCAACCACUUGAUGAAAUAACUCCAACAUGAAACCCUAGCUUAUACAAGCUCAAUAAAAUCUCAUGAUGAUCUUUAUCUCAAUAAAGACCUCAUCUCCUUGAAAAACCCUGAUUGGCAUAAUGCAACUGAUUAGGGUUGACUAGAGGUCAAAACCCUAAUCCCAAGGAGCCUGAUCAGAAAUAAUGAAUCAUGAUGAUGAUGAUGUACCAU
rnacentral:lncRNA from 1 species